rnacentral:misc_RNA from 1 species
UCCUGGUUAACCCAGGCAGUCUCGCGUGAAAAAUACAACACACGACAAGGGUUGCGCUCGUUGCGGGACUUAACCCAACAUCUCACGACACGAGCUGACGACGGCCAUGCAUCACCUGUCACCGAGCUCCUUGCGGCACUCUCUCCUUUCGGAGAGAUUCUCGGGAUGUCAAACCUGGGUAAGGUUCUACGCUUAAUGUCGCAUUAAACCACACGCUCCACCGCUUGUGCGGGUCCCCGUCAAUUCCUUUGAGUUUUAGCCUUGCGGCCGUACUCCCCAGGCGGGGUACUUAACGCGUUAGCUUCGAUACCCAGGGGGUCUAUGCCCCAGAUACCUAGUACCCAUCGUUUACGGCGUGGACUA